AAUCGACAUCAGAGACUCAUUUUGAGAGCCUUGCCCAACAGCAAGGUAGGCAUUCAUGCCUAACUCUUUCAUUUGCUCUUCGCCGAUAACGCGAGUUGUUAACCUAUUAUCUGAAAUAUCAGCCAGUUGGCGCGCUUGAGACGCUAAGUAAGCUGCAUUACAGAUAUUGGGUGGCAUAUUACCGAGAUCUUUCGC
rnacentral:antisense_RNA from 1 species